AGUGAACGCUGGCGGUAGGCCUAACACAUGCAAGUCGAACGGCAGCACAGUAAGAGCUUGCUCUUACGGGUGGCGAGUGGCGGACGGGUGAGGAAUACAUCGGAAUCUACUUUUUCGUGGGGGAUAACGUAGGGAAACUUACGCUAAUACCGCAUACGACCUACGGGUGAAAGCAGGGGAUCUUCGGACCUUGCGCGAUCGAAUGAGCCGAUGUCGGAUUAGCUAGUUGGCGGGGUAAAGGCCCACCAAGGCGACGAUCCGUAGCUGGUCUGAGAGGAUGAUCAGCCACACUGGAACUGAGACACGGUCCAGACUCCUACGGGAGGCAGCAGUGGGGAAUAUUGGACAAUGGGCGCAAGCCUGAUCCAGCCAUACCGCGUGUGUGAAGAAGGCCUUCGGGUUGUAAAGCCCUUUUGUUGGGGAAGAAAAGCAGCAGGUUAAUACCCCGCUGUUCUGACGGUACCCAAAGAAUAAGCACCGGCUAACUUCGUG
rnacentral:rRNA from 1 species